CGACAAAGUAGGAUGCGGAUGUGGGACACACAAAAUAUUAUAAAAGUGACAAAGUAAGUCAUAUCUCGAAUACGCAUGCGUACUACAUGUCGUAGUUUGAAAGCAGCGUAAAGAGCCAUGAAUGGACUAUGACAGUGUGUCCUGCUCACAUUAGCAACUGUGGACAGCUGUUUCGCCCUUUUGGGGCUCGUCAGCACAGUGUAGCUAAUGGACAAGCUGCACAUCCAGAUAUUUAUAUGACGACAAAGUAG